GUCAGUCACCAGAUUAGUCGCAUGGCUGAUUACCAUCUUACAGGUGACCCAGUAAUUUUCCAUAUGACAGUAGCGUGUACCCUUCGGGUGUGUAUAACUUAUUUUCUGGGGAACAUCCUGUCCACGUGUAAUACUUAGUAUAUAUUGCAACAGAUGACAUUAAACAAAUUCUCUUUGUAGCAUCGGUGUCAAUUUCAUGUUCAACCACACAAAAAAAAUCAAAAAAAGAUAUUAUGAUAAAAUCAUAAGAGAAAGAUUAAAAAAUAUUAACAAAUAAAUUUGGCAUUGAGUAUAAACGGGGAUUCGUGUUUUAAAGAGCUUAUUUCCAGUGGACAACAACAAAUGGAAGUUUUUAACGACCUUGACUAGCUAUAUAUACAGUACUUGCACGGUCGGUCCAGUGGACAUAUUUCAUACUAGAUAACUUAUAGUAAUUCUUUUUAUAUAUACGACAAUUAAAAAAAAAUGUCCGAUCUGAUACACGUACAUAUAAUGUACAGAAUUUUGAACAGCUUUAAAUAUAUGGCCUUAUUAUUGGUAAUAUACUAUAUUAGUGUCACUGAUUGCCUAACGUGUUACCAAAUUAAAAAGAAAGAAAUUGGCUCAAAACCGCAUUUUUUUUAAAGAUAUUUUUUUUUCAAUCCCAAAAUAGAGAAGGGGCCGAUAUAUACAGACUAAAGUCCAGAUGAGAAGAUUGACUUGCUUUUCUAUAUUAGCAAGGAUUUAUUAUUAAAUGCAUCAAUUUAUUUGAACAUGGGAACCAAAUAACGAAACAAAUAAACCGGACAUUGGCCAUACCUUUUUAGUAAGUGGACAAAUAGGCAAGGAUAAUGUUUUUAUCAUUGUUCAAAUAUUUUAGAAAAAGUUCUUAACAAAUUCACAUUCAUUACCUUUUUAUCAGUUUAGGUAAUUCUUUAUUAGCCUAACGAUGAAGCCAUAUAUGUACCAGUGGCAGUGUGUAGAAAUACCGCAAAGGACUACUUAGUGCACUAAGAAGAAAGUUUUUGAACUAAGGACACUAAAACGAUGUUUAAGGACCACACAAAACAUGGAUA
rnacentral:lncRNA from 1 species